UGGGGCAGCUUGAGAUCGUUGUAGAGAGCAUAAGUCAAUGAAGGGUGGAAUGAAGAAAUGAAGAGCAAUAAUGAGGUGUCAGGGGUUUUAUGGAAAGCAGCCAUCACCAAGUGCUCUAUGAGAAAACCUUCUAGACUAUGCCAACAGAUCUCUUGGGUUCCAAGGAAAAUUAUUGGGGCUCCACAGGUGCUGGCAGAAAACACCAACAACAGUCCUAUGAUACCAACUCCAACACUUGUGUGAAGAUUUCCUCGACAACAUAUAACUCCAACUGGUAACUUGGAGAAGCCCAAAUUCCAUUUGGUUGUUCACCAUCAAUACAUGUUUUUGUACUGGAAAGACAUUAUUCUCGGGAACCAUAGGACACCAUCUGUCCCAUAAGACUGUUCAAUCUUUCCACCUUGAAG
ensembl:lncRNA